rnacentral:rRNA from 1 species
UCUACGGGCGGCUGCAGUGGGGAAUAUUGCGCAAUGGGCGAAAGCCUGACGCAGCGACGCCGCGUGAGGGAUGAAGGUCUUCGGAUCGUAAACCUCUGUCAGCAGGGAAGAACGGUCACUGUGCUAAUCAGCAGUGAAUCGACGGUACCUGCAAAGGAAGCACCGGCUAACGCCGUGCCAGCAGCCGCGGUAAUACGGGGGGUGCGAGCGUUAAUCGGAAUUACCGGGCGUAAAGCGCUCGUAGGCGGUAUGUCAAGUCAAGGGUGAAAUCCCCGAGCUCAACGUGGGAACUGCCUUUGAAACUGGAUAACUGGAGUGUGUGAGAGGAUAGUGGAAUUCCAGGGGUAGGAGUGAAAUGCGUAGAUAUCUGGAGGAACAUCAGUGGCGAAGGCGACUAUCUGGCACAUAACUGACGCUGAGGAGCGAAAGCGUGGGUAGCAAACAGGAUUAGAUACCCCAGUAGUC